AGUGAACGCUGGCGGUAGGCCUAACACAUGCAAGUCGAACGGCAGCGCAGUAAGAGCUUGCUCUUACGGGUGGCGAGUGGCGGACGGGUGAGGAAUACAUCGGAAUCUACUUUUUCGUGGGGGAUAACGUAGGGAAACUUACGCUAAUACCGCAUACGACCUACGGGUGAAAGCAGGGGAUCUUCGGACCUUGCGCGAUUGAAUGCGCCGAUGUCGGAUUAGCUAGUUGGCGGGGUAAAGGCCCACCAAGGCGACGAUCCGUAGCUGGUCUGAGAGGAUGAUCAGCCACACGAGAACUGAGACACGGUCCAGAGUCCUACGGGAGGCAGCAGUGGGGAAUAUUGGACAAUGGGCGCAAGCCUGAUCCAGCCAGACCGCGUGGGUGAAGAAGGCCUUCGGGUUGUAAAGCCCUUUUGUGGGGAAAGAAAAGCAGCAGGUUAAGACCCCGCUGUUCUGACGGUACCCAAAGAAUAAGCACCGGCUAACUUCGUG
rnacentral:rRNA from 1 species